rnacentral:rRNA from 1 species
AGAGUUUGAUCCUGGCUCAGAUUGAACGCUAGCGGCAUGCUUAACACAUGCAAGUCGAACGGUAACAGGUUUAGGAAACUAGAUGCUGACGAGUGGCGGACGGGUGAGUAACGCGUAGGAAUCUACCUCAUAGUGGGGAAUAACCUGGGGAAACCCAGGCUAAUACCGCAUAAGCCUUACGAGGGAAAGUGUGGGACCGG